GACGAACCGUGCGAACGUUAUUCGGAAUCACUGGGCUUAAAGCGCGUGUAGGCGGCCCGGCACGUCCGUCGCUGAAAUCCCCCGGCCCAACCGGGGAACGGGCGCGGAUACGGCCGGGCUGGAGGGGGGUAGGGGGCGCCGGAACUCACGGUGGAGCGGUGAAAUGCGUUGAGAUCGUGAGGAACGCCCGUGGCGAAAGCGGGCGCCUGGGCCCCGCCUGACGCUGAGACGCGAAAGCCAGGGGAGCGAACGGG
rnacentral:rRNA from 1 species